UACGGAGGGUGCAAGCGUUAUCCGGAUUUACUGGGUUUAAAGGGUGCGUAGGUGGGUCUGUAAGUCAGUGGUGAAAUCUCCGAGCUUAACUCGGAAACUGCCAUUGAUACUAUAGAUCUUGAAUUAUCUGGAGGUAAGCGGAAUAUGUCAUGUAGCGGUGAAAUGCUUAGAUAUGACAUAGAACACCAAUUGCGAAGGCAGCUUACUACGGAUCGAUUGACACUGAGGCACGAAAGCGUGGGGAGCAAACAGGAUUAGAACCGUACCGAC
rnacentral:rRNA from 1 species